CCUACGGGAGGCAGCAGUGAGGAAUAUUGGUCAAUGGGCGGAAGCCUGAACCAGCCAAGUCGCGUGAGGGAUUAAGGCCCUGCGGGUCGUAAACCUCUUUUGCCGGGGAGCAGAGGUCCGGACGUGUCCGCGCCGGGAGUGUACCCGAAGAAAAAGCAUCGGCUAACUCCGUGCCAGCAGCCGCGGUAAUACGGAGGAUGCGAGCGUUAUCCGGAUUUAUUGGGUUUAAAGGGUGCGCAGGCGGGAGAUCAAGCCAGCGGUAAAAUGUCGGGGCUCAACCCCGGCCGGCCGUUGAAACUGGUGUUCUAGAGUUGGAGAGAAGUAUGCGGAAUUCGUGGUGUAGCGGUGAAAUGCAUAGAUAUCACGAAGAACUCCGAUUGCGAAGGCAGCAUACCGGCUCCAUACUGACGCUGAGGCACGAAAGCGUGGGGAUCGAACAGGAUUAGAUACCCCAGUAGUC
rnacentral:rRNA from 1 species